GAAAGGAGGAAGAAGGGUCAUGAAAACCUCACACACCGCUAGGAGGGGGCAUCCUGGAGUAGGGGGCUGGAUCAGGACCCGGCUGGACGGGAAGGAGCUGGGUAAAGGGAGGGCACCCGGAAAGGAUCUUCCUCCAUUGCCCAGACUGGAGUGCAGUGGUACAACCAUAGCUCACUGCAGCCUCAAUCUCUGGGGCUCAAGUGAUCCUCCCACCUCAGCCUCCCAAGUAACUGGGACCACAGGCGCACGCCACCAUGCCCAGUCUCCCUCUCCUUCUUUUUUCGGUCUCCCUCUGUUGCCGAGGCUGGACUGUGCUGCCGUGAUCUCGGCUUGCUGCAACCUCCCUGCCUCGGGCUCCUGUGACUCUCCUGCCUUGGCCUGCCGGAUGCCUGGGAUUGCAGGCACGCGCCGCCACGCCUGAAUGGUUUUUGUGUUUUUGGUGGAGACAGGGUUUCGCCGUGUUGACCGGGCUGGUCUCCAGCUCCUGGCCUCGAGUGAUCUGCCUGCCUCGGCCUCCCGAGGUGCUGGGAUUGCAGACGGAGUCUCGCUCACUCAAUGCUCAAUGUUGCUCAGGCUGGAGUGCAGUGGCGUGAUCUCGGCUCGCUACAACCUCCACCUACCAGCCUCCUGCCUUGGCCUCUUAAACUGCUAAGAUUACAGCCUCUGCCC